rnacentral:rRNA from 1 species
GGGCCCGCACAAGCAGUGGAGUAUGUGGUUUAAUUCGAGGCAACGCGAAGAACCUUACCAGGGUUUGACAUCCAGCGCUAGGGCUAGAGAUAGUUUGUUCUCUUCGGAGACGCUGAGACAGGUGGUGCAUGGUUGUCGUCAGCUCGUGUCGUGAGAUGUUCGGUUAAGUCCGGCAACGAGCGCAACCCCUGUUGCCAGUUGCCAUCAUUGGGUUGGGCACUUUGGCGAGACUGCCGUUGACAAAACGGAGGAAGGUGGGGAUGACGUCAAAUCAUCAUGCCCCUUAUAUCCUGGGCUACACACGUACUACAAUGGGCGCAGACAGCGGGCAGCGAAGCGGCGACGCGGAGCGAAUCCUGAAAGGCGCCCUCAGUUCGGAUUGCAGGCUGCAACUCGCCUGCAUGAAGCCGGAAUUGCUAGUAAUGGCAGGUCAGCAUACUGCCGUGAAUACGUUCCCGGGCCUU